rnacentral:rRNA from 1 species
AGAGUUUGAUCCUGGCUCAGAACGAACGCUGGCGGCAGGCCUAACACAUGCAAGUCGAACGGACCCUUCGGGGUCAGUGGCGCACGGGUGAGUAUCGCGUGGGAACCUACCUUCCGGUGCGGGACAACCCGGGGAAACCCGGGCUAAUACCGCAUACGCCCGAGAGGGGAAAGAAUUUCGCCGGAGGAUGGGCCCGCGUCCGAUUAGCUAGUUGGUGGGGUAACGGCCUACCAAGGCUGCGAUCGGUAGCUGGUCUGAGAGGAUGAUCAGCCACACUGGGACUGAGACACGGCCCAGACUCCUACGGGAGGCAGCAGUGGGGAAUAUUGGACAAUGGGGGCAACCCUGAUCCAGCCAUGCCGCGUGAGCGAUGAAGGCCUUAGGGUUGUAAAGCUCUUUCACCGGUGACGAUGAUGACGGUAGCCGGAGAAGAAGCCCCGGCUAACUCCGUGCCAGCAGCCGCGGUAAUACGGAGGGGGCGAGCGUUGUUCGGAAUUACUGGGCGUAAAGGGCGCGUAGGCGGCGCGCCGCGUCAGGUGUGAAAGCCCCGGGCUCAACCUGGGAACUGCACUUGAUACGGGCGCGCUGGAAUUCGGCAGAGGGUGGUGGAAUUCCCAGUGUA